rnacentral:ncRNA from 1 species
AUUAAGUCAACGACCAUGCGUGGACUUUAAAAAACAAAAUCAUGUACAGUAGUAGCCGUCUGCUAUGAGACUAGGCAUUAUAAUUGAAUAUCAUAGUGUUGAUAAAGAGAUAUGAUUAAUGAGUGAUUAGUCAUAUCUCU